AAUGAACGCUGGCGGCAGGCCUAACACAUGCAAGUCGAACGGAUCCUUCGGGAUUAGUGGCGGACGGGUGAGUAACGCGUGGGAACAUACCCUUUGGUACGGAAUAGCCUCGGGAAACUGGGAGUAAUACCGUAUGUGGUCGAGAGACGAAAGAUUUAUCGCCAAAGGAUUGGCCCGCGUUGGAUUAGGUAGUUGGGGGGGUAAUGGCCUACCAAGCCGACGAUCCAUAGCUGGUUUGAGAGGAUGAUCAGCCACACUGGGACUGAGACACGGCCCAGACUCCUACGCGAGGCAGCAGUGGGGAAUUUUAGACAAUGGGGGAAACCCUGAUCUAGCCAUGCCGCGUGAUCGAUGAAGGCCUUAGGGUUGUAAAGAUCUUUCAGGUGGGAAGAUAAUGACUGUACCACCAGAAGAAGCCCCGGCUAACUCCGUGCCAGCCGCCGCAGUAA
rnacentral:rRNA from 1 species